AUGCAAGUCGAACGGAGGCCCUAGCUUGCUAGGUGUCCUUAGUGCCGCACGGGUGAGUAACACGUGGGAACAUACCUUAUAGUACGGAAUAACUGCGGGAAACUGUAGCUAAUACCGUAUACUCCAGUAAUGGGAAAGAUUUAUUGCUAUAAGAUUGGCCCGCGCAAGAUUAGCUUGUCGGUGAGGUAAAAGCUCACCAAGGCUUCGAUCUUUAGCUGGUUUGAGAGGACGAUCAGCCACACUGGGACUGAGACACGGCCCAGACUCCUACGGGAGGCAGCAGUAGGGAAUAUUGGACAAUGGGGGCAACCCUGAUCCAGCAAUGCAGCGUGAGUGACGAAGGCCUUAGGGUUGUAAAACUCUUUCAUCGGUGAGGAUAAUGACAGUAGCCGAAGAAGAAGGACCGGCUAAUUCCGUGCCAGCAGCCGCGGUAAUACGGAAGGUCCUAGCGUUGUUCGGAAUUACUGGGCGUAAAGCGCAUGUAGGCGGAACAGAAAGUUAGAAGUGAAAUCCCUGGGCUCAACCUAGGAAUUGCUUUUAAAACUUCUGUUCUGGAAUUCAGGAGAGGAAAAUGGAAUUUCCAGUGUAGAGGUGAAAUUCGUAGAUAUUGGAAGGAACACCAGUGGCGAAGGCGAUUUUCUGGACUGAUAUUGACGCUGAGAUGCGAAGGCAUGGGUAGCAAACGGGAUUAGAUACCCCGGUAGUCCAUGCAGUAAACGAUGGGUGCUAGUCGUCGGACUUUUGUUCGGUGUCGUAGCUAACGCGUUAAGUACCCCGCCUGGGGA
rnacentral:rRNA from 1 species